rnacentral:lncRNA from 1 species
GCUUACCCCCAAUAUCCGGAGCCCUGCUCACAGUCCAGCUCCAGCCCCAGAGCCCGGCCUGAGACUGUCAUGGGAAGUAAGAAUGCCAGCCACAGCUGCUGCCAGUCCAUGAUCCCAGCAGACAAGAGCUCCAGAAGCUGCCUCUGGCCUGAGACUUCUGAAAGUUUGGAGGAGCAGAGCUAAGCAAGGGACUCUUACCUCCAGGUCUUUGCUGUCAGCCUCUGGUCCUCUUUAUAAGCCUUCAACUGUGGAGAAUGGGGGUUGGGGGGACAGUGGGAGGUGACUCAGCCAGAGAGAUGUUGCAACUCACCAUUAACUCCUGCCCUACCAAAGAGCAGAAGCCAAAAAUGCCCCUAAUAUCACCACCCCACCCCCAGAGUUCUCUGCUGAAGACCAGAUGUCUCUCUGUACUGCUCUGGGGUCUGCCUCCUGGCAUCGUGAGAGCCAGAGUAUCUAAAGAGAUUAGCAUAGGCCCAAGGCUGCUCCGUAGAGUUGGACAUUCCUGCUUCUCAGGGAUCCAAAGCCAGCAAAUCCCUCAGCUUCACAGGUCCCUUUGCUCCUGACAAAGAAAAAUCAAUAAGAGCAAAGAGUUAGGAGGCAGCGGAGGCAGCAUGAGCUUCAGCGUGAAGGGAUCAAAGAUGAGACCUGCUGUCGUUACUGCUGCUGCUGCUGCUGUUGUUGUUGUCAUUGUUGGAGACAGCAUCUUUCUCCGUAGUCCUGGCUAUCCUGAAACUGCCUAUGUAGACCAGGCUAGCCUAGAACUCAUAGAGCCACUGUGAUCAAAUUGGAAGUUUAAGUCAGUCUAGCCUUGCAGGCUGGCCUUGAGCUCUUCUUAAACAUUUUCUUUUUGUGACUCUUUUCUUUUUUUUUUUUUUUUCCUUUUUACCAUUUAUUAAAGAUAAAAGCAGGACUGGAAAGAUGAUUCAGCCAGUAUGUUUUCUGGACAAGCAUGAAAACUUGAAUUAGGAUUCCCAGUCUUCACAAAAAAGUCAGGCAGGGCAGCUCAAAUCUGUAAUCCCAGCACCAGGAGGCUAUGGAGACAGGCGAGCCCUUGGAGCACACUGGUGGGCCAGCCAAUUCAGUUGAAUUAUUGAGUUCCAGGUUUAGUGAAACACUGCCUUAAGAAUAAAAAAAGAAAAGAAAAGUAAGGUAAAGGGUUGACAAGAUGGCUCAAUGAAUAAAGAGGCCUGCAACCAAGCCUGCUGACCUGAGUUCAAUUCCCGAGAUGCACACGGUGGAAGAAUAAAACCGACUCCUACAAGUUGUCCUUUGACUUCCACACAUGCAUGGUGGUGUGAACACUAUUCCCUCCACACCAUACAUAUAUAAACAAAUAAAUAUAAUUUUUAAAAUUACCCUGUCUCAAAAAAAAAACAAAACCAAAACCAAAAAUUUUUUCCCUUAAAACUAAGGUGAGCUAGGUGUAGUGGCACAAGUUGCUAAUCUCAGUGCCAGAGAUAAAGAAACAGUCAUAUUUUGGGGAGGCCAGUCAAGUCUACUUUGCAAGUUCCAGACCAGCUAGGGCUAUAUAAUGAGACCUUAUCUAAAUAAAUAGAUAGGUAGAUAGAUAGAUGAUAGAUAGAUAGAUAGAUAGAUAGAUAGAUAGAUAGAUAGAUAGAUAGAUAAUUUUUUUUAAAAAGUAGAGAUCUAUAGAGAAAGACACAUGAUGUCAACCUCUCAUACACAGGAGACUAUAUCAUGACCCCCUCCAUGAAUUAAAGCAAAUUUACAUACUC